AUACCCCGGCAGGGCUCGGGGUCUGGAUGUCAGGCUGAACGAAACCCACACAAGUCUCAGCCCUCAGGAGGUGAUUCACCUCUAAUUACCCUGACCCUCAGCUUGCCAGACAACUCUGGAUCCCUCCUUCAGUUUUCUCAGGGGUUUUGAGACCAGAAACAGGGUGUCACUCCCUGGGAAGGUGUAGACCCCAUUGGAGAUUACUGACGUACACACCAGUCUCUGAGGAAUUCGAUUCCUGCAGGCUGACCCAGGUAACCGUGAGCGCCUUGAUGAACAUGCAUUCACAGAACCUUCAGAGCUGAAGGGCAGCCCCACCAGGGCGUCGGAGCAUCUCCACCACACCCUGACCUCGAUCCAACCUCAGCAGAAACGAGGAGGAACACUGAACCUGCAGGGGGAAUUGACCAGCACUCGGAGCCUGCCUUACAAAGCACGUUUAUUGAUGCUUCUGCUGCCUGGGCAGACUCCCAGUCAGGAAAUAAGGUCAGUGAAACAGCUGCAAUCAUGAAAAAGGGACCAGCAGCCAUGAGAGAGAAACUAAGAAAAGGCUUGCUGCUUUACUGGUGUGAUGGUGAGGAAGAAGUAACUCCGUGUAAGAUGUAUCUGGGAUCUUAGCCCCCCUACCAGGGAUUGGACCCCCACCCCCUGCACUGGGAGGAGAAAUCUUAACCGCUGGACCACCAGGGAAGUCCUCAGCGAUCCUUAAAGGCUCAGAAAAUCACAAAUAUGUUGGCAACGCUUCAUGGAUAUGUGUACACAUGCAAAACGAAUCAUGUGUAAUGUAACAUUUAUCUGAAAACAUGCUAAAAAAAAAUUUAAAAAAAAUUAAAAAAAAAAAACAUUCUAAGUUCUGAGGCUAACGAACACUCAGGUGGUGGAGUGGAAGAAAGUGAACACUUUUCUUCUUGGA